rnacentral:rRNA from 1 species
CCGUUAAACCCCCCUAAUUUUUUUCUAAGCAAGGUUGACCUCGGAUCAGGUAGGAAUACCCGCUGAACUUAAGCAUAUCAAUAAGCGGAGGAAAAGAAACCAACAGGGAUUGCCCUAGUAACGGCGAGUGAAGCGGCAACAGCUCAAAUUUGAAAUCUGCCUUCGGGCCGAGUUGUAAUUUGCAGAGGAUGCUUUUGGCGCGGUGCUUUCUGAGUCCCCUGGAACGGGGCGCCAGAGAGGGUGAGAGCCCCGUAUAGUUGGACACCUAGCCUGUGUAAAGCUCCUUCGACGAGUCGAGUAGUUUGGGAAUGCUGCUCUAAAUGGGAGGUAAAUUCCUUCUAAAGCUAAAUAUCUGCCAGAGACCGAUAGCGCACAAGUAGAGUGAUCGAAAGAUGAAAAGCACUUUGAAAAGAGAGUCAAAUAGCACGUGAAAUUGUUGAAAGGGAAGCGCUUGUGACCAGACUUGCGCCGGGUCGAUCAUCCGCCGUUCUCGGUGGUGCACUCGGCUCGGCUCAGGCCAGCAUCGGUUUUCAUAGGGGGAUAAAAGCCUCGGGAAUGUGACUCCUCCGGGAGUGUUAUAGCCCGGGGCAUAAUACCCUUACGGGGAC